UACGUAGGGGGCAAGCGUUGUCCGGAUUCAUUGGGCGUAAAGAGCGUGUAGGCGGCCAGGUAGGUCGGUUGUGAAACUGGAGGCCCAAGCCUUCAGAGGUCGACCGAAACCAUCUGGCUAGAGUCCGGGAGAGGAGAGUGGAAUUCCUGGUGUAGCGGUGAAAUGCGCAGAUAUCAGGAGGAACACCGGUGGCGAAGGCGGUCGUCUGGUCGGAACCUGAACU
rnacentral:rRNA from 1 species